rnacentral:rRNA from 1 species
AAAUGAAUAGACGGGGACCCGCACAAGCAGCGGAGCAUGUGGUUUAAUUCGAAGCAACGCGAAGAACCUUACCAGGUCUUGACAUCCUUUGCACGUUUUAGAGAUAGAACAUUCCCUUCGGGGACAAAGAGACAGGUGGUGCAUGGUUGUCGUCAGCUCGUGUCGUGAGAUGUUGGGUUAAGUCCCGCAACGAGCGCAACCCUUGUUGCUAGUUACCAUCAUUUAGUUGGGGACUCUAGCGAGACAGCCGUAGACAAUACGGAGGAAGGUGGGGAUGACGUCAAAUCAUCAUGCCCCUUAUGAUCUGGGCUACACACGUGCUACAAUGGUCUGUUACAGAGGGAAGCGAAGCCGCGAGGUGGAGCGAACCCCACAAAACGGAUCUCAGUUCGGAUUGCAGGCUGCAACUCGCCUGCAUGAAGCUGGAGUUGCUAGUAAUCGCGAAUCAGCAUGUCGCGGUGAAUGCGUUCCCGGGUCUUGUACACACCGCCCGU